AGCAGCAAAGUGCCUUUGAGGUUUAAAAGAAGAAGCUUCACCGUUGUCCCUUUACUCUUUAUUCUUAGCAUUAAAGAGGUCUAGAAUAGUGAUGUGAUGACUGAUGACAGUUUUUGGGACAUGCAAAGCUGGCUUCUCUUUUAGCUAUAUAGUUCCUUGAGCACAAAUCGACCCCUGGCUCAGCUAAUUGGAGGGGAAGUGGCUGCCUGUCUGUCUUCUCAGCUGACAAUGGAAUUACCUCAAGACAAAUUGAAUUAAAUCCUAUAUUAGGAGGAGCAAAGGUUGGAUCAUGCUCAAGCUGAAAAUAAUCAGAGGGCACCUGAGUCAACACCAGACACCAUUUUAAAGGUUAUAACAUAUCCACAUGGGACACAUAAGAGCCAAGACCCUGAACUGAUCCACAGCCUAGAGGCCAUGUUGGACAAUGGCAGAUGUUUAUAUUAACACAGAUUUUGAAUUUUAGGUCAGUAGGUGCAGGACACCUUCCAGGACAUCAUCGUGGUCAAUGUGGAACAACUGAUUUGACUUGGGUUCAAAGCUGUGUGAAUUCCCUGUCUUUAAUAGACCCGCGAGUGAGUAAGCGAAAGAGACGAAAGCCGUAGCUCUUUAAGAAGAAAGACGCAUUUGCAUUUUAUAAUGAGUCUGCCAUUCUGAAGUGGAUGCCACAAAGUACCCAAACAGAGGUUUUGCUCAUCAGCAUAUUUACAGAAGCUUCUGAUUAACAAACCAUGCAGAGAAAAAAGCUUGCAAAUUAUCAUUCAGCUUCCCAGAACAUUUAUAUAAUUUUGAGAAUCACAUUCAUGAACGCUGUGUUGUGCAAUGCUGCUAAAGAGUCUUUGCAAUUCCUCGAAUAUGAGGAGAUGAAGAAAACCUGAUGCAUUGUAAUUUUAUCAUUCAGUGUAAACCUUUUUUUCCCCCAUCCAAUCCACCUCCACCCCCUUUCCAUCCAUCAUGGCUGAUUUCAUUAAAUAUCAAGAAGGCUAUUAAAAUACCCAGGUGGCUAUAAAGAUAGAUGCCUAGCAACAAUGGUAUUUGCUAUGUUGAGGUUAAAAUAGGGUGCUGUGCUACACAUACACUCCAUUUCUAUCAGCUUCCUGCUUGCAUUGGUUUACCAGAGCAAAAAAAAAGUGCACAACCAGGUGGAUCGAUUUGGGAAAGAAGAAGCAUGAGCAGGACAAGAGCUGGUCAAACAUAGUUCAUUAAACAUUUUUGACAGGUCAAGCGGAAAACUCAUUGUAGAAAACUUUCCAGAUUGCUGAGUAUGGAGGGCUAUAAAUAGUGCUCAUUUCUCCUUUUAUGUGGUUUAUCAGGCUUCUGAUCACGAGGUCGUGGCACUGCCUAUUCAUACGUCUCAAGUUAUAUUUGGAAGAAAUGCCUAAUUAGUUUGUUGUGGCAAAAUAAAUGGCUGCAUAAUCAUUAGGCAUUUCAGAAGUAACAAGUGCAGCCUCCACACAGCUCCAGUGUCUCUGGUUCUAUCCACGUUUGGAUUUAUGCCUACAUAUUUCGCAUGUUCUUCCUAUGUCCCUGAGAGUUUUCUUCAGGUUUCUUCCCAUCUACCCAAAAACCUGCUGGUAGGUGGAUUGGAUAUGCUAAAUUGGACUAAAACCCGACUGCUUCCAUCUUGUCAGUGUUGCUUAUAUAAACUACAAAUCCACCAUGAUCCUGACUAAGUGAUUACUGAAUGAAUAAAUGAAUGAAUUACUAAAUAGGUAGCAUAUAAUGAAGAACUAAUAAUUGAAACAGAUAUUGUUGCUAAUGCUGAAUUGAAUUAUUUCCCCAAAACAAGAGGCAGGGGUAUUUUUUUAAUCUCUUACACCACAGCAAUUUGCCAGCUGUAACACAUUUCUAUUCAUUAAGAAAUAACACAUCAUUAGAGCUGCAAAAAUAUAAUAAUUACAUGUCCUUCUACUUAUAUCUCUAUACUGAAGGUUUUCCCUUACUAGAAAACAGUUAGGCUAAAUGUUAAAAGCACUGACACUGGAGACUCUUUCCAUUAAUGCUAAAUAAACAUCUUCUCAGUGGAAAACUUUACCAUAGCAACAAUUAAACUCAUUUCUGUUUAUCUGUUCAUGUGGUGCAUUUAUCACGCAAAUAAUGACCUGCCUAAGUGACAGUAAAUAUAGAAAAGAUAACACAUUGAAACAAGAUCAUUAUUAUAAACCAUGCAACCGGAUCAGAGUGACUGUUAUUGAAAACUGAUCAACACUUUCUGACCAAUCAGAUUCAAGAAUUCAGUAGCACUGUUGUAUGAAGUUAAUUACAUCUGGAGAGUGGAAAUCGAUCAAGAAACAGAUGGAACGACGAUUAAAUCAAAAUAACGGAAGCAAUAAGGUUGCAAAGUGAAGGAGAAGCAUAGAGAAGAUGAGAAUACACAAAACAAGCUUAUCCGUUUAUUUUCAUAUGUCUGAAGCAGUAGUAGACAUAUGGCAUAGUCAACAUGCCAGUUGCCCAGUGCAGCGAGACACAUUCUGCUUUAUAGCAGGGGCUCAAAAGCUUGUUGUAGCAGGUGUACAAAAUAUGGAGCCACUUAUUAUUGCAGCACAAAUAAUUUUAGGAGCAUAUUCCUAUUCAAAUUUAAAUAUUGUUCAAAUAUUAGGUACAAUAAACAAAUAAAAUUUGCUCCAUGUUGACAUGAUUACAUCACACAAUUCCUGCAGGCAUCCCAAGGGUGUACUACUGGAUUCCUGUGACUGAGGAGGCCACUGAAGAACACUGAACUCAUUGUCUUUAUGAAACCAGUUUGGGAUGACUUUUGACUUGUGACAUUAUCAAGCUGGAAGUAGCCUUUAGAAAAAAAAGUUUAAUUGUGGUCAUUAAGGUACGCAACAAUACUCAGGCUGUGGAAUUCAAGAGAUUAUUGAUUGGGAUUAAUAAGACAAAAUUCCAUAUUCUAUUACACCACCAGCAUCAACCCGGACAGUAGACUCAAGGCAGGUUGGUUUCAUGGAUUCAUGCUGGUGGCAUCAAAUUCUGACUAUCAGAAAUCAAGACAAAUCAGACUACAAUUUCCCAGCCUCAUCUUUAUGUUCUUGGCUGAAUAGCGGAAUCUGACAUGGUUUUCUGUUUGCUGUUGUAGUUCAUUUGCCUCAAUAAGUUGUGCAUUCUGAGAUGUUUUUCUUCUCACCACAAUUGUACAGAGUGUUUAUCUGAGUCUCUGCAGCCUUUCUGUGGGCUCAAACCACAAACCAUUCUGGCCAUUCUUCAUGGACCUCUCUUAUUAUCAAGUCAUUUUCAUCUGCAGAUCUACUGCUCACUGGAUAUUUUUUCUUUAUUGUACCAUUUUGAAUAAAAAUUAGAAACUACGGUAUAGUGCAUGAAAAUCCCAAGAGAUCAGCAGUUAUAGGAAUACUCGAUCCAACCCAUUUGGCAGGAACAAUCAUGAUAUGGUCAAAAUGACUGAAAUCACAUUUCCCCCCAUUCUGAUGGUCGAUUUAAAUUUUACCGAACCAUAUCUGGAUGAUUUUAUGUAAUGAACUGCUGCCACUCGAUUGGCUGUUUGGAUACUUGUUGGUAUAAAUGGUUAGGUGUACAGGUAUUCCAAACAAAGUGUGUAAGGAGUGAAUGUACCACCGAGUAAUAUAUCAAACAUGAUGGACGUGCUGUUGUGGAAAGACAGGCUUGGUGUAAUGCAAGACCAGAUGUGAAUUUGAUAUAUCUGUUUUAUUCUUAACCUUAGCAAUGAAACACUACACAGCUUUAUGUCAAAGUGGUGACACACGACUGGCCUUUUUUAAAUUUUAAAUAAAACAAAGCCUUAGCAUAACAAUAUGUGUUAAUAUGUGUUUCUUAUAUUGUACAAAACUUUGAAUCUGUGUAUUGUUAGGCUUAAGCUAAGUGAGAGUUUCUGCAAUUGAACUGUUACUAUAGAAACAGUAAGUGAAUAAGAGUAUUUAUAGUGAAUGUUUACAUACACUGAGGCUAAACACAUUCAAACUCCACACUUUUCAUAUUUACUUUAUUUCCCUAAGAGCUUCUUUCAAAAUAAUUGCUCAGGGGCAGUUUUUUUUUCUUCCAGUUUCACUUACUAUAUCAGAUUUUCAGUGAGUGAAGAUAUGCUUAGGAUUAUUGUCUUGCUGGCUGUGUUGCUGUAGUAUUUCUAUGUAAUCCUCCUUUCUUGUCAUUCCAUCUAUUUUCUGAUUGGCACCAGUCACUUUCCAGCAAAACACAUGUAUAAGUUGAUGCUACCACCCCCAUGCUUCACAGCUGGGAUGGUGUACUCUUGUUUUUAAGAUUAAAAGGGUGAGACAUGAUCACUGUGACCAAACAGUUAGAUUUUUUAGACCAGAGAAUAUUUCUCCAAAAGAUCACCUCUAAAACUUUAAUUUUUUUUUUUAUUGAAUUCUAGUCUUGAAGUAGUGGCUUCAUCCAUGCAGUUCCACAACAGAUUUGUCCUCGUGUUAUCUUAGGGAGCAUUUCUGGGCACUUUUGCCCUUGGCUUGCUCAUUAAAGAGAUAAAUAGCAUUUUUGUAAAGCUGCUUUGUGACACUGUCUAUUCUUGAAGGUGCUGUACAAAUAAAGCUGAAUUGAACUGAAUUGAGUUAAAAUGAAAUUUUGCAGUGUGUCCUAUUAAACAGCAUGCUUGUCUGCUUCUGUCUGUCCCUGCUCCUAGUCCC